rnacentral:rRNA from 1 species
UACAGAGGGGGCAAGCGUUGUUCGGAAUUACUGGGCGUAAAGGGCGCGUAGGCGGCCUUCUAAGUCAGACGUGAAAUCCCCAGGCUCAACCUGGGAACUGCGUCUGAUACUGGAUGGCUUGAAUCCGGGAGAGGGAUGCAGAAUUCCAGGUGUAGCGGUGAAAUGCGUAGGUAUCUGGAGGAAUACCGGUGGCGAAGGCGGCAUCCUGGACCGGCAUUGACGCUGAGGAGCGAAAGCCAGGGGAGCAAACGGG